UACGUAGGGUGCAAGCGUUUGUCCGGAAUUAUUGGGCGUAAAGAGCUCGUAGGCGGUCUGUCGCGUCUGCUGUGAAAACUCGGGGCUUAACCCCGGGCCUGCAGUGGGUACGGGCAGACUAGAGUGCGGUAGGGGAGACUGGAAUUCCUGGUGUAGCGGUGAAAUGCGCAGAUAUCAGGAGGAACACCGGUGGCGAAGGCGGGGUCUCUGGGCAGUAACUGACGUGAGGAGCGAAAAGCGUGGGGGAGCGAACAGG
rnacentral:rRNA from 1 species